UACAGAGGUCUCAAGCGUUGUUCGGAUUCAUUGGGCGUAAAGGGUGCGUAGGUGGCGCGGUAAGUCGGGUGUGAAAUUUCGGAGCUUAACUCCGAAACUGCAUUCGAUACUGCGGUGCUUGAGGACUGGAGAGGAGACUGGAAAUUUAUGGUGUAGCGGUGAAAUGCGUAGAGAUCAUGAGGAAGACCAGUGGCGAAGGCGGGUCUCUGGACAGUUCCUGACGCUGAGGCACGAAGGCCAGGGGAGCAAACGGG
rnacentral:rRNA from 1 species